ensembl:lncRNA
UGUGUGUGUGUGUGUUUCCGUUACUGCGGUGGCGGUGGGCGGGGCUUUACAAUAACAACCCACAAUAACAACUACGGAGAAUUUAUUUAUUUAACCAAAAGAUGGAAGAAAACAACUCAGAUCACUUCUUCUGCCUUCACAGAGAAGAAAGAGAGAAAGAGAGGAAGAAAGACUGUGAUCUACAAGGCAGGUUGGGUCCAUGGGUUCAUGCUGUUGGUGCCUAAUUCUGACCGAACCAUCUGUGUCCCUCAGCAGAAAUGGAGAUCAGGCGACGUUUUUCCAGUCUUCAUCUGUCCAGUUUUGGUGAGUCUGUGCCCAGUGCAGCCUCAGCUUCCUGUUCUUUGCUGACAGAAGAGGAACCCCACAUGGUGUUCAGCUGUUGUAGCCCAUCCACCUCAUGGUUCGACGUGUUGUGCUUUCUGAGAUGCUUUUCUGCUCACCACAAUUGUACAGAGUGAUUAUCUGAGUUACAUAGACUUUCUGUCAGCUCCAACCAGUCCGGACAUUCUCCUCUGACCUCUCUCAUCAACAUGGUGUUUCCAUCCACAGAAAUCCCGCUCACUGAAUGUUGUUUUCUUUAUUGCACCAUUCUGAGUAACUCUAGAGACUGCUGUGUGUGAAAAUCACAGAAGAUCAGCAGUUAUAGAAAUACUUAAACAGCCCAUCUGGCACCAACAACCAUGCCAUACACCUAUCACAUAACAGCUAGCAACCAGGAGGGUGAAGGCUGACACAGGCUUCUUCUGAAAUACGUGCAAUCAACCACAACGUUUCUACUGCUGCUCAUGCUGCAUCACAGGGCUGCGUAACACACUCUGAGGAAAGCGCUACUGGUCUUCUUCCAAAUACGUGAGCUUACAGAUGUCCAUGAUUGGCGUGUGUUGCUGUGAUUGACAGGGAGAGACAGAACACCCAGCAGCACUGCCGGUUUUAUCGCUCUUGGCUCCUGAGCACGGAUGGCUGUGUCAUUCAGACUUGUGAUCUCCUGAGGACUUUUCUGUUGCUCCACUCGGGAGUCCUCAGUUUUCAGGAAUCUUAAAUGGAGUGUUUACAACAGUUACAGUAGACUUUAUGGAUAAACCAAAAAAACAUGGCACAGAACAUCACCACAAACGCAGUCAGCACCGCUAUCACCCUCAUUACCCAGUGUGGUACAGCACAGUCCCCUACAAAACACACACACACACACACACACACACACACACACACACACACACACACACACACACACACACAGACAGACAGACACAGAGAGAUGUGUAUUAAAAACAGAGCUGACUUUUCAUCAUGUGUAUCAUGCACAGUGUGUAUGAUAUGGUACAAAUCAUCUGUCACUCUUCCACAGUAUAAACGUGUAAUGUGGACUUUUGUGUCUUUCACUCUGCGUUUCAUUUCUUCUGUUAAAACUGUAUCUAAAGUAUCUAGUAGGGUUUAUUGAGAUUUGAGUUCCUCCUGCUGAUUAUUACUAACGUGUCUGAUAAAAACACAACUAACCUGAUCACUUCACAACCACCAGCUCUGUUAAAGCUCCACUAUAUCAUAUUAACACUCAGUAUAUCACACACACGGUGUGUUUCAUCAUGCAGUUCACUCCACACACAUCACACUGAGACGUACCUGUCACAGAGACGGCGUACACACGGAUGUCUUCAUUAUUCUCCGUGUCCCGGAUGGUGUAAAGUCCACUAUCACUGUGCGUCACGUCUCUCAGUGUGAGCUCUGGGUAUCUGAGUGAUGUUCUGUGUGUGUAUUCAGCUUUACACUGUAGUGAGCGUUGAGUCACGUUACAGAUCCGUUCACCAUCAGCUGAAUCACUGCUUGUAUAAAUCACCUCCACUGGCUCUGGUACGGUCAGAUCCAGGAUCAGAUCUUCACCAGGGUUCUUCUGAACUGCUGAGAACACGGCUGAGGAGAAAACACAUUCAGCUGUAUUUAUUCAGAGUCACAACUAAAGUUCAAAGGUCACGUCAGUGUUUGCGUGGGGAAAGUUGCUGGUAUUCAGAGUCGGUUACGCAGCUGCUCCAGUGGAGUUUCUGAGCUCUGAUGCUCAGAUGAUUAAAAUCACCUGCGUGUCGUUCACACUUCCAAACACUAAAACACUCACCUUUAAACCCCAAAAUAAUCAGGGAUAGAAAUUCUGGACUGAAGAAGGGAAGAAAAUGUUUUUCUU